rnacentral:rRNA from 1 species
UACAGAGGUCUCAAGCGUUGUUCGGAUUUACUGGGCGUAAAGGGCGCGUAGGCGGCGUGACAAGUCACUUGUGAAAUCUCCGGGCUUAACUCGGAACGGUCAAGUGAUACUGUCGUGCUAGAGUACAGAAGGGGCAACUGGAAUUCUCGGUGUAGCGGUGAAAUGCGCAGAUAUCGGGAGGAACACCAAUGGCGAAGGCAGCUCGCUGGGACGUGACUGACGCUGAGACGCGAAAGCGUGGGGAGCAAACAGG